GGUGAGUGAGCGGCUGCGUGGUGCUUAGUUGCUGGCUGGGGUUAAACCACGACAAGGGAGACCCCCACCAUCCAGCCAAGAAGCGUGGAGACCCUCACCAUAAAGACACCAACAAGGGUGGGAGAUGCCCCCAUCACCAGGACACCAGCAAUCAACAGGACCAACAGGACAUCGCUGGAUCCUAGGGUGGUGAUACCUUCUGUCUCUGUCUCUCUCUUUUCUACCUUGCUCUUCCUUUUCUCUUUGCGGCCAGCACCUUAUCUUGCUCUUUCUCUUUCUCGCCUCAUUUACCUCACUUUGUGUAUAUAGUUUGAUGUUGUUAGUCAUCUGAAUAGUUCAUCCAUAGAGUUCAAGUUUCAUGUUGAAUCAUUUUGGUAAAAUUAGGUAAAAUUCUCCCCUCCCCUUUCCCUUCGAUUUUGUGACUCGCUUGGCAGACAGCAAUUUCUUGAGUUAUCACACGAUUGUUUCAGUUUUGUUUAUGUUUGUGCUCAAUAAACAAUUUGAUUGGUUGUUUGGCGUCAUUUCUCCGAGGGAUUUCGAGCUUCCCGUGACCUCCCACACUAACCAGGGUAGCGUGCUUGUUGGGUUGUGACACAAGCUGCAUGACGAAAUAAGUUAAAUAUCUUUAUUCUUCUAUAAUGUCCUUGUCCUCCUGCCUAAACAGCAAGCUAAGCCAAAGUCAGGUGUGAAAGGAAUCUUUUUGGUACAACGUGGCAACAGAAGUGAGAGACAUCACCACUGAGUUUAACUCAACUUGGUGUCUUUCAGACCUCAAAAGCUAAGCAUCGGACUCCUUCAAGCCCCAAUACAGACAAAGCUUGUGAGAACCACCUGUGCCGAGCUAGACUCUUCCAUCAGUCAAAAGCUGCAAGUAGCAUAUCCAUUGCCGCAAAGUUCAAGGUUCCUAUCAGCCACCAUUCAGAGGGGACUCCACUAGAGGUGCUGCCAAAAGACAAUGCUCCUGCAAGCACCAUCCAGCAGAGCAACACUGAUCGUGUCAAAGGACGGGUCCUACAGAAGCAAGUCAAGGGGCCUGCAGAUGGUGCCAGCAGUCGGCAAAAGCAGGAGUCAGUCGCCCGCCUGGGGAACCAGCCGAGGACUAAAUAGAAGUCACUGGGGGAGCAGGACUCUCUGUGGCCCCAAGGGAUUGCAAUUUCAAGGCUGCUGGAAGUCUGGGAAGCAGAUUCAGGGGGAGCGUGCCUUAAAAUGUAUUUUAGCUUCUCUGUUGUGAUGCUGAAAAGCAGAGGGAAGGCUAGCAGGGGGGAGAAGGACCUUAUACAUUGUAGAUUACUUUUUCCCAUAUCCCUACCGCAAGUCUUUCCUCUGUACUGUGCGGUCUAGCUGUUAGCUUCAGUUUAAGACAAGUAGGGUGUUAACAGAGUCCAAGAGAAGAGGAAAACCUCAUUUUCCCAGCAGUGUUCUCCUCCCAGAAGAUGUCAGCAUGGAGCCCAAGCCGCCUUUUUUCCUGGGGCAAAAGUGUGGAUGCCACCCAUGCAUCCAAAAGGCUCCCUGACUAUUAAAACCAAAUGUAAAUGCCUGAGAAAUAGUUUCCCCAUUCUUCCCUGCUGUCCCUGUGUGUUGCUGUGAAGCUGGGAGGUGUAACACACGCCUGGAAUGCUGUUUGGGUGAGCAGAUGUUUGGCUGUGAGAGCAGCCAGAGAUUGCUCUAAGCUCUUUUCCAUCUACAG